ACGAUCCACUGAGAUUCAG
rnacentral:snRNA from 1 species